AGACAAAGCUACCUACAGUAUUCAUCUAGAAUCCUUCAAGAAAGUUCCAUGAGUAAGCAAGCAGACAGGAUUGGACACACAAUGGGACCAGGAGUUUAAAUGGAGCUGCUGGGGCAAUGGACAGCAGGAAGGCAUUACAGUUUCUUACGAUGACAGAACAAUGGGCUACACCUUCAUUAUCACUAUUUUUAGAUGCACGCCUGGCAGAAUGAAGAGGUAAACAAAUUUUCCAAGUUUGAAAUACGAACGUGAAAAGCCCGACAAUCAACCCCCUUUUUUCUUCAAUGUGAAAAAAAAAUAUUUACAUUUAAAUGAUAGUGGG